rnacentral:rRNA from 1 species
CCUACGGGGGCAGCAGUAGGGAAUCUUCCGCAAUGGACGAAAGUCUGACGGAGCAACGCCGCGUGAGCGAUGAAGGCCUUCGGGUCGUAAAGCUCUGUUGUUAGGGAAGAACAAGUACCGGAGUAACUGCCGGUACCUUGACGGUACCUAACCAGAAAGCCACGGCUAACUACGUGCCAGCAGCCGCGGUAAUACGUAGGUGCCAAGCGUUGUCCGGAAUUAUUGGGCGUAAAGCGCGCGCAGGCGGUCCUUUAAGUCUGAUGUGAAAGCCCACGGCUCAACCGUGGAGGGUCAUUGGAAACUGGGGGACUUGAGUGCAGAAGAGGAAAGCGGAAUUCCACGUGUAGCGGUGAAAUGCGUAGAUAUGUGGAGGAACACCAGUGGCGAAAGCGGCUCUCUGGUCUGUAACUGACGCUGAGGCGCGAAAGCGUGGGGAGCAAACAGGAUUAGAUACCCUGGUAGUCCACGCCGUAAACGAUGAGUGCUAGGUGUUGGAGGGGCCACCCUUCAGUGCUGAAGUUAACACAUUAAGCACUCCGCCUGGGGAGUACGGCCGCAAGGCUGAAACUCAAAGGAAUUGACGG